GGCCCCGUGGCCCAGCCUGGAUAGGGCGGCGGCCUGCGGAGCCGUAGGACCCGGGUUCAAAUCCCGGCGGGGCCGCCA
rnacentral:tRNA from 1 species